rnacentral:rRNA from 1 species
GAUGAACGCUGGCGGCGUGCCUAAUACAUGCAAGUCGAGCGAACGGACGAGAAGCUUGCUUCUCUGAUGUUAGCGGCGGACGGGUGAGUAACACGUGGAUAACCUACCUAUAAGACUGGGAUAACUUCGGGAAACCGGAGCUAAUACCGGAUGAUAUUUUGAACCGCAUGGUUCAAAAGUGAAAGACGGUCUUGCUGUCACUUAUAGAUGGAUCCGCGCUGCAUUAGCUAGUUGGUAAGGUAACGGCUUACCAAGGCAACGAUGCAUAGCCGACCUGAGAGGGUGAUCGGCCACACUGGAACUGAGACACGGUCCAGACUCCUACGGGAGGCAGCAGUAGGGAAUCUUCCGCAAUGGGCGAAAGCCUGACGGGGCAACGCCGCGUGAGUGAUGAAGGUCUUCGGAUCGUAAAACUCUGUUAUUAGGGAAGAACAUAUGUGUAAGUAACUGUGCACAUCUUGACGGUACCUAAUCAGAAAGCCACGGCUAACUACG